GGGGCCGGGAUAAGCAGGGCGGGGCCAGGACAAGCAGGGCGGGCCCGGGAUAGGCAGGGCGGUGCAGGCGGGGCCGGGCGGGAGCGGCCUCCGGGUCCGGGCACGUUCUGGGCAGCCGCAGUGAUCGUACAGCGCUCCGGCCCCAUGGAGGCGGCGCGGCCGCAGCCCGCGGUGGGGCCGGAGCCGCGCGCCGAGGAGAUCGACAUGUCCUUGGGACACAGGAGUUUCUUGAUAGGAAAUGACAAGGGACCAGUGCUGGAGGUCUGAUAAUUCAUGAUGACAUCAUAAAGCGCCACAGGAAAGAGCAGACAGAUGCCAGUGCCUUGGGCGACAGCAGAAGGCAGCAGGUCAAGAACAGGAGUUCAGCCUCCGGAUAUAGGCGGCCCCAGUACCGACCCUGGAAGCAGAGGAAUUUGCAAGGACCUAACCGUUUCCGAAGAGGGCUUGGACAGCAGCAGUUCAAUCGGAGACAAUUCAGGAAUGCUUUGCCUGGUCACAAAAGACGAGCAGCUGCUGCAUUUGAUGGAGUGAGUCCUUUAAAUCGCCAAGCAUCAGCUCAGGAGGGCACCAAGAAGAGCAAUGCUUUUGCCAAAAGCAGCAGUGGGCAGCAGGAGGAACAGCCACAGCCAUCUCCAGGCACCAAGAGAUUCAGAGCAGAUGUUGCCAGCAUCUGCACCCCAGAGAGAAGCAGGCCUUUCCUGCUGAACAGGGGAUCGGCGUUCCAGCAGAAGCGGGUGCAGCAGUGGGUCUCCAAAGCCCGCUUCCAGAGAGGGCAGAUGGCGUCUCAAAGAGAAGGGAAAUUGCCAAGGAUGAGAAGGUGGCAAGUGAAACCCAGCCCAGGAGCAAUUCUGACUGUUUCUGUGGUUAAUCCCCAGGCAGGCCAGCCCAGCCUGCCUGGAUCCAAGCACCCAUUCCAGCAAAGCCAGAGACCCCCAGCACGGGUGGCCAAGCCCCAGCCCAAGGGGGUACUGCUGAGAUUCAACUUCCGCGCCAUGGCCAACCAGACCAGCCUGACGCUGGAUGAGAGGUUCUCUAGUCUGAGGAAUAAGAGGCGCUUUACAGCAGCCAGGAGCGCCGGACGGACGGUCACCAUGCCUUAGGACCGCGUGCUCAUCAUAGGGACUGCCUGUGACAGUCCAGGCUCCAUGGCAAGGCCUCAAUAAAAGUCGCUAGAUUCCCUUUGAGAUAGCUGAU
rnacentral:lncRNA from 1 species